rnacentral:rRNA from 1 species
GGGCGUUAAGUUGCAGGGUAUAGACCCGAAACCCGGUGAUCUAGCCAUGGGCAGGUUGAAGGUUGGGUAACACUAACUGGAGGACCGAACCGACUAAUGUUGAAAAAUUAGCGGAUGACCUGUGGCUGGGGGUGAAAGGCCAAUCAAACCGGGAGAUAGCUGGUUCUCCCCGAAAGCUAUUUAGGUAGCGCCUCGUGAAUUCAUCUCCGGGGGUAGAGCACUGUUUCGGCUAGGGGGCCAUCCCGGCUUACCAACCCGAUGCAAACUGCGAAUACCGGAGAAUGUUAUCACGGGAGACACACGGCGGGUGCUAACGUCCGUCGUGAAGAGGGAAACAACCCAGACCGCCAGCUAAGGUCCCAAAGUCAUGGUUAAGUGGGAAACGAUGUGGGAAGGCCCAGACAGCCAGGAUGUUGGCUUAGAAGCAGCCAUCAUUUAAAGAAAGCGUAAUAGCUCACUGGUCGAGUCGGCCUGCGCGGAAGAUGUAACGGGGCUAAACCAUGCACCGAAGCUGCGGCAGCGACGCUUAUGCGUUGUUGGGUAGGGGAGCGUUCUGUAAGCCUGUGAAGGUGGCCUGUGAGGGUUGCUGGAGGUAUCAGAAGUGCGAAUGCUGACAUAAGUAACGAUAAAGCGGGUGAAAAGCCCGCUCGCCGGAAGACCAAGGGUUCCUGUCCAACGUUAAUCGGGGCAGGGUGAGUCGACCCCUAAGGCGAGGCCGAAAGGCGUAGUCGAUGGGAAACGGGUUAAUAUUCCCGUACUUGGUGUUACUGCGAAGGGGGGACGGAGAAGGCUAUGUUGGCCGGGCGACGGUUGUCCCGGUUUAAGCGUGUAGGUGUGUGUUCCAGGUAAAUCCGGUUCACUUUAACACUGAGGCGUGACGACGAGGCACUACGGUGCUGAAGCAACAAAUGCCCUGCUUCCAGGAAAAGCCUCUAAGCAUCAGGUAACAUCAAAUCGUACCCCAAACCGACACAGGUGGUCAGGUAGAGAAUACCAAGGCGCUUGAGAGAACUCGGGUGAAGGAACUAGGCAAAAUGGUGCCGUAACUUCGGGAGAAGGCACGCUGACACGUAGGUGAAGUGAUUUACUCAUGGAGCUGAAGUCAGUCGAAGAUACCAGCUGGCUGCAACUGUUUAUUAAAAACACAGCACUGUGCAAACACGAAAGUGGACGUAUACGGUGUGACGCCUGCCCGGUGCCGGAAGGUUAAUUGAUGGGGUCAGCGCAAGCGAAGCUCCUGAUCGAAGCCCCGGUAAACGGCGGCCGUAACUAUAACGGUCCUAAGGUAGCGAAAUUCCUUGUCGGGUAAGUUCCGACCUGCACGAAUGGCGUAAUGAUGGCCAGGCUGUCUCCACCCGAGACUCAGUGAAAUUGAACUCGCUGUGAAGAUGCAGUGUACCCGCGGCAAGACGGAAAGACCCCGUGAACCUUUACUAUAGCUUGACACUGAACAUUGAGCCUUGAUGUGUAGGAUAGGUGGGAGGCUUUGAAGUGUGGACGCCAGUCUGCAUGGAGCCGACCUUGAAAUACCACCCUUUAAUGUUUGAUGUUCUAACGUGGACCCGUGAUCCGGGUUGCGGACAGUGUCUGGUGGGUAGUUUGACUGGGGCGGUCUCCUCCUAAAGAGUAACGGAGGAGCACGAAGGUUGGCUAAUCCUGGUCGGACAUCAGGAGGUUAGUGCAAUGGCAUAAGCCAGCUUGACUGCGAGCGUGACGGCGCGAGCAGGUGCGAAAGCAGGUCAUAGUGAUCCGGUGGUUCUGAAUGGAAGGGCCAUCGCUCAACGGAUAAAAGGUACUCCGGGGAUAACAGGCUGAUACCGCCCAAGAGUUCAUAUCGACGGCGGUGUUUGGCACCUCGAUGUCGGCUCAUCACAUCCUGGGGCUGAAGUAGGUCCCAAGGGUAUGGCUGUUCGCCAUUUAAAGUGGUACGCGAGCUGGGUUUAGAACGUCGUGAGACAGUUCGGUCCCUAUCUGCCGUGGGCGCUGGAGAACUGAGGGGGGCUGCUCCUAGUACGAGAGGACCGGAGUGGACGCAUCACUGGUGUUCGGGUUGUCAUGCCAAUGGCACUGCCCGGUAGCUAAAUGCGGAAGAGAUAAGUGCUGAAAGCAUCUAAGCACGAAACUUGCCCCGAGAUGAGUUCUCCCUGAGACUUAGAGUCUCCUGAAGGAACGUUGAAGACGACGACGUUGAUAGGCCGGGUGUGUAAGCGCAGCGAUGCGUUGAGCUAACCGGUACUAAUGAACCGUGAGGCUUAACCUUACAACGCCGAAG